GACGGGCCCGGACGACCUGGGGAGCUGCGAGAAAGCUUUUUGUUGCCAGGAGCCGCAGAGGAGCUGCCCGCGCUUUCCUAUGAGGUUUUCACCAUCACCGGCAAAACCAUGGAAGCUUUAAGAAAGUGACAGUAAUUUAUUUUUUAAAGUUUAAACGAGAGCAGCUGCCAAAGUGGGUGGUAGCAGUCCGGCACCGCCGCGGGGAGAAAGGGGCAGGCAGGCGGGAGUGAGAUGAGGUAGGGGAGGGCUGGUGGGCGGUGCGGGAGGAGGUGGGAGCUGGGCCGGGAGCUCAGCGACAGUCUGUUUGAGCGGGGAGAUCUGCAGCUUCACGCUGCUGGGGUGCCCUGCUUGUCCUCGACACACGGAACAGCACAGCACAACACAACAGGACACCUCGAGCCGCCACAGAGCGGGUGCGGCCCCGCAAGCAAGAAAACGGAAAAAUCAGUCAGUUCUGACUCUAUCUCCCCACCCAUCAAAACGAUUACUUGUCUCUUGGCCCAUCCCAGCUACCACUUCCGAGCUGUCCUGAUGGUAUUUCUAAGCUCAUCUGAAGGAUGUUGAAGACCCUAUCUCACACAAAAAUCUUGAAAGGCUUCGGGGUCUGCUUUCCCAGUGAGAAGAUAACGCAUGACUAGCAUCCAGGAAGUGAGUGGUAAGUUAUAAUAAAAUACAAGUCAAUGCUGACGUGAGUAUAAAG
rnacentral:lncRNA from 14 species